GUUUAAAUAGUUUAAUUAAAAUAUUGAUUUGUGGUGUCAUUGAUGAGAAUUAUUCUCUUUAAACC
rnacentral:tRNA from 1 species